AUGGCGACCGGCGCACGGGUGAGUAACGCGUAUGCAACCUGCCCGAUACCGGGGGAUAGCCCAUGGAAACGUGGAUUAACACCCCAUAGUACUUUUAUCCUGCCUGGGAUGGGAGUUAAAUGUUCAAGGUAUCGGAUGGGCAUGCGUCCUAUUAGUUAGUUGGCGGGGUAACAGCCCACCAAGACGAUGAUAGGUAGGGGUUCUGAGAGGAAGGUCCCCCACAUUGGAACUGAGACACGGUCCAA
rnacentral:rRNA from 1 species